AAGCCUGAUGCAGCCAUGCCGCGUGUAUGAAGAAGGCCUUCGGGUUGUAAAGUACUUUCAGCGGGGAGGAAGGCGAUAAGGUUAAUAACCUUGUCGAUUGACGUUACCCGCAGAAGAAGCACCGGCUAACUCCGUGCCAGCAGCCGCGGUAAUACGGAGGGUGCAAGCGUUAAUCGGAAUUACUGGGCGUAAAGCGCACGCAGGCGGUCUGUCAAGUCGGAUGUGAAAUCCCCGGGCUCAACCUGGGAACUGCAUUCGAAACUGGCAGGCUAGAGUCUUGUAGAGGGGGGUAGAAUUCCAGGUGUAGCGGUGAAAUGCGUAGAGAUCUGGAGGAAUACCGGUGGCGAAGGCGGCCCCCUGGACAAAGACUGACGCUCAGG
rnacentral:rRNA from 1 species